rnacentral:rRNA from 1 species
AACGCUGGCGGCAUGCCUUACACAUGCAAGUCGAACGGCAGCACGGGAGCAAUCCUGGUGGCGAGUGGCGAACGGGUGAGUAAUAUAUCGGAACGUGCCCAGUCGUGGGGGAUAACGCAGCGAAAGCUGUGCUAAUACCGCAUACGAUCUAUGGAUGAAAGCGGGGGAUCGCAAGACCUCGCGCGAUUGGAGCGGCCGAUAUCAGAUUAGCUAGUUGGUGGGGUAAAGGCCCACCAAGGCGACGAUCUGUAGCUGGUCUGAGAGGACGACCAGCCACACUGGAACUGAGACACGGUCCAGACUCCUACGGGAGGCAGCAGUGGGGAAUUUUGGACAAUGGGCGCAAGCCUGAUCCAGCAAUGCCGCGUGCAGGAUGAAGGCCUUCGGGUUGUAAACUGCUUUUGUACGGAACGAAACGGUCCUUUCUAAUAUAAGGGGCUAAUGACGGUACCGUAAGAAUAAGCACCGGCUAACUACGUGCCAGCAGCCGCGGUAAUA